ACUUUACAAUGCGAGCAAUCGUGAUAAGGAAACCCUGAGUGCCUGUCAAUGCAGGCUGUUCUGGUGUCUAACACACACCAGGAGAAAGGGCGGGGCAAGACCGGUGCCAGCCGCCGCGGUAAUACCGGCUGCUCGAGUGAUAGCCACUUUUACUGGGCUUAAAGCGUUCGUAGCUUGGUCGUUAAGUCUCUGGGGAAAUCUUUUGGCUCAACCAAAAGACGUCUCAGGGAAACUGGCGAUCUUGGAACCGGGAGAGGUAAGACGUACUUCGGGGGUAGGAGUGAAAUCUUGUAAUCCCCGAGGGACGACCGAUGGCGAAGGCAUCUUACCAGAACGGCUUCGACAGUGAGGGACGAAAGCUGGGGGAGCAAACCGGAUUAGAUACCCGGGUAGUCCCAGCCGUAAACGAUGUGCGUUAGGUGUGUCAGUGACCACGAGUCGCUGAGGUGCCGAAGGGAAACCGUGAAACGCACCGCCUGGGAAGUACGGUCGCAAGGCUGAAACUUAA
rnacentral:rRNA from 1 species